CCUACGGGAGGCAGCAGUAGGGAAUCUUUCACAAUGGGCGAAAGCCUGAUGGAGUAACGCCGCGUGCCGGAUGAAGGCCUUCGGGUUGUAAACUGCUUUUAUAAGCGAGAAAUAUGAUGGUAACUUAUGAAUAAGGAUCGGCUAACUACGUGCCAGCAGCCGCGGUCAUACGUAGGAUCCGAGCAUUAUCCGGAGUGACUGGGUGUAAAGAGUUUCUUAGGUGGCAUAAUAAGUAGCUAGUGAAAUCUGGUGGCUCAACCAUUCAGACUAUUAGCUAAACUGUUAAGCUCGAGACCGUUAGGGGCAUCUGGAAUUUCUAGUGUAGGAGUGAAAUCCGUAGAUAUUAGAAGGAACACCAAUAGCGUAGGCAGGAUGCUGGGACGGUUCUGACACUAAGGCACGAAAGCGUAGGGAGCAAACGGGAUUAGAUACCCGAGUAGUC
rnacentral:rRNA from 1 species